CUGAACCGAAAAAAGGUUAAAUUUGACGCACCGACGAAUGAAUCGUUCGUUGCAAUGUGAGAUGGCGCCGACACAUGGUUGUAAGAGAACAGAAGAGGACCCAUGUAUUUGAUAAUCCGUCGUAACCGUUGGACGGACGCAAUGUCACAUGCCGCGAGGAUAUCUUCAUGGAGUGGUGAACUAUGUUCGAAUUACAUUACUUCGCAAAGGAUGUUAGAAACUCCCAUCAACCGGGAGAAGGAACUGUUUCGCACAACCCGCAGCUUCAUAGUUACCUCGAAUCUCAGAUACUAUUUCCUUGCAUUUAAUAUCUCAGAGGGUAUAAAAAUAAUCCUCAACGUCGAUGUCAACAAUUGUUUCAUAUAUCCAUAGUAACAUGAAUAAAGUGUUACAAUAUUAUAUAUAAUCAUUUUUUGAAACCC